rnacentral:misc_RNA from 1 species
GGGAGGUGAUCAUUCUGAGGAUCACUUAAGGUUAUAAUUGGAGACUUCAUUUCAUCUUCGAUUAUUAGCAAGAGUAAGUUGUCUCCGUAUGACGUAUAGGUCACAGAUUUGAGUUAUGAAAUCAAAUUAUUGAUGCAUGUUUCUGGGUAAACUACCUACCGGCUGCAUCACACCCUCUUAUCCUGUCCCGGGACACAUACUUGGUACACCGAGCUACCUUUUUUCUUGUACUUUUUAGAUUGUUACUCCUCCAUAUGAAAUAUUUUUGGUGUGUAUUGAGCUGAGGACCGGAUAAGGCAAUCUGUUCAGCCUGUCCUUAUGGACCCUUGGACUAGACUUCUUGUAAGUUGUACAUAAUUUAUGGGCUAAGCUUUCCAUUUUCCUU